GUAUUAAUUGCGUGUGAUCGCAAAAGAAAAACAUUCUACACUGUAUCGAGUUUGUGUGAAAACGUGAGCCCCCGAAAGGGGACCCACGCGGUGGUGCACAUAGGGGUGAGAUGGAUGUUUGAGAACGCUCGGGCGUGCACGACCUUUUGAAAGGUCAGCGACAGCCCUCGCACCCCCGUUGUAUGAUAAUGAUCCUUCCGCAGGUUCACCUACGGAAA
rnacentral:misc_RNA from 1 species